AUUAGGAAUCUUGCACAAUGGGCGAAAGCCUGAUGCAGCGACGCCGCGUGGAGGAUGACGGCCUUCGGGUUGUAAACUCCUUUUGUUGGGGAAGAACACAAUGACGGUACCCAACGAAUAAGCUCCGGCUAACUCCGUGCCAGCAGCCGCGGUAAUACGGAGGGAGCGAGCGUUGUCCGAAGUUACUGGGCAUAAAGCGCGCGUAGGCGGGAAAUUAAGUGAGAAGUGAAAGGCUGGGGCUUAACCCCAUGCAGUGCUCCUCAUACUGGUUUUCUUGAGGGUGGUAGAGAGAAGUGGAAUGGCUGGUGUAGCGGUGAAAUGCGUAGAUAUCAGUCGGAACACCAGUGGCGAAGGCGGCUUCGUGGGCCAUUACUGACGCUGAGGCGCGAAAGCCAGGGGAGCGAACGG
rnacentral:rRNA from 1 species